rnacentral:rRNA from 1 species
UAAGGAAUAUUGGUCAAUGGGCGGGAGCCUGAACCAGCCAUGCCGCGUGCAGGAAGACGGCCUUAUGGGUUGUAAACUGCUUUUAUCGGGGAAUAAAACUUUCUACGCGUAGAGAGCUGAAGGUACCCGAAGAAUAAGCAUCGGCUAACUCCGUGCCAGCAGCCGCGGUAAUACGGAGGAUGCAAGCGUUAUCCGGAUUCAUUGGGUUUAAAGGGUGCGCAGGCGGAUUAAUAAGUCAGUGGUGAAAUUCUAGUGCUUAACAUUAGACCUGCCAUUGAUACUGUUAGUCUCGAGUAUAGUUGGAGUGGGCGGAAUGUGUCAUGUAGCGGUGAAAUGCUUAGAUAUGACACAGAACACCGAUCGCGAAGGCAGCUCACUAAGCUAAAACUGACGCUCAUGCACGAAAGCGUGGGGAUCAAACA